AGUGAAUAGAUACCCAGGUAGUCCCAGCCGUAAACGAUGCUCGCUAGGUGUCAGGCAUGGCGCGACCGUGUCUGGUGCCGCAGGGAAGCCGUGAAGCGAGCCACCUGGGAAGUACGGCCGCAAGGCUGAAACUUAAAGGAAUUGGCGGGGAGCACAACAACGGGUGGAGCCUGCGGUUUAAUUGGACUCAACGCCGGACAACUCACCGGGGGCGACAGCAAUAUGUAGGCCAGGCUGAAGACCUUGCCUGAAUCGCUGAGAGGAGGUGCAUGGCCGUCGCCAGUUCGUACUGUGAAGCAUCCUGUUAAGUCAGGCAACGAGCGAGACCCGUGCCCACUGUUACCAGCAUAUUCUCCGGAAUGAUGGGUACUCUGUGGGGACCGCCGAUGUUAAAUCGGAGGAAGGUGCGGGCCACGGUAGGUCAGUAUGCCCCGAAUCUCCCGGGCUACACGCGGGCUACAAUGGAUGGGACAAUGGGUCCCUACCCCGAAAGGGGCUGGUAAUCUCACAAACCCAUUCGUAGUUCGGAUCGAGGGCU
rnacentral:rRNA from 1 species